UCCUAAUGAAGAAGCAAUCCCAUAGAUAGGAAGUGCCGUAUGACACUUUACACAACAGCGGACUGAACGAGGAUGCAUCCGGUGAUUUCUCAUCCCCCGAGCAGUUUUCCUGAUCCGUUUACGGUCGGGUUCGAGCUGCUCGGUCGGGUUAUCUACCGUACUUCCCACCGUUCUGUGUCCACUGUGUGGGUGAUUUGACACGGGUUCGCUGAGGGG
rnacentral:snoRNA from 1 species